rnacentral:rRNA from 1 species
CAAUAGCGUAUAUUAAAGUUGUUGCAGUUAAAAAGCUCGUAGUUGAAUUUUUGCUUGCCGCCGAUGUCGGAACUUCCGUACGUUCGGCGGCGUGCAUCCUUGGGUGGAACCUGUGUGGCAUUAGGUUGUCGUGCAGGGGAUGCUCAUCGUUUACUGUGAAAAAAUUAGAGUGUUCAAAGCAGGCUUACGCCGUUGAAUAUAUUAGCAUGGAAUAAUAAGAUAGGACCUUGGUACUAUUUUGUUGGUUUGCGCACCGAGGUAAUGAUUAACAGGGACAGUUGGGGGUAUUCGUAUUCCAUUGUCAGAGGUGAAGUUCUUGGAUUUCUGGAAGACGAACUACUGCGAAAGCAUUUACCAAGGAUGUUUUCAUUAA